rnacentral:rRNA from 1 species
UACGUAGGGUGCGAGCGUUAAUCGGAAUUACUGGGCGUAAAGCGUGCGCAGGCGGUGAUGUAAGACCGAUGUGAAAUCCCCGGGCUUAACCUGGGAACUGCAUUGGUGACUGCAUUGCUGGAGUAUGGCAGAGGGGGGUGGAAUUCCACGUGUAGCAGUGAAAUGCGUAGAGAUGUGGAGGAACACCGAUGGCGAAGGCAGCCCCCUGGGCCAAUACUGACGCUCAUGCACGAAAGCGUGGGAGCAAACAGG